rnacentral:rRNA from 1 species
CGCGUAGGCGGCCUGAUAAGUCUGGAGUGAAAGUCCCGCUUUCAAGGUGGGAAUGGCUUUGGAUACUGUCGGGCUUGAGUGCAGGAGAGGAAAGCGGAAUUACCGGUGUAGCGGUGAAAUGCGUAGAGAUCGGUAGGAACACCAGUGGCGAAGGCGGCUUUCUGGACUGAAACUGACGCUGAGGCGCGAAAGCGUGGGGAGCAAACA